rnacentral:lncRNA from 1 species
UGAAUAUAUUAUUAUCUACAUAGUUUUCCCAUUUUUUCAAUGUUGGCCCGUUAAAGGGUUAAUUUACAAGCAAAUCUUCAAAAUCUGAAUAUAAAUGUGCCAUUUUAGGUAGAUUGUGUUAAACUGCCCAUAUCACGUAAGAGAUAUCCUAUAUCUGGCGGCUGCCAACACCCAUUAUGGUGUCAACCGGAGGAUUGAAGGAUGAAGUUCAACUAAUCGAGCCUAGAUCUCUCCUAAAAAAAAGUUUAAGGUGUGGGACCCAGAUUUGAAACCGAAUCCUCUUAGAUGGUAAGCGAAUGCUUUGCCAUGAGGCCAUCCCGUCGACACGUUUUAGAACUAGAUACUGUGUACAUUAUACUUUCUCUUGCAGAAAAAACGAUGCAUCCUUGAAAAAUCGAGAGAGAGCUGCGAAACUUGGUAUGCGAAUGUCUUUCAGGUUAUAUUCAAAUUAUUAAAAUUUUAUUACCAAUGAAUGCUCAGUGCGUUUCAAGACCUCAUAAGAAGGGCGAAUUUAAGGCAAUGUAAGGAGCAGCGUUCGUAAGAUAGGAAAAGAAGGCUUGUUGAAUUCUUUUUGAAAAAAAGCCGAUACUGAUUUUCCAGACGAAAGACAACUUUGCCAUUUAUAUGACCAGUCGCUUGACUAUUGCGCAGCAUUAUUAUUCUGCAAGCUGUCUAGUUCAAUCAGAGAAUUUACGUAGGAAGCACACUUUUUUGUUUAAUCGAUGAUGCCACAUGGCCAUUCAGUGGCCAUGUAGCUGGCAAAUUCUCUCGACAUUAAACCGCCCACAUCCACCGCUUUCCAACGGAGGUUAUUAAUCGGCGGUACAUUCCAGUUCCCACCAUGGGCUACCCAUACCUAUGACAGCUGAUUCCACCAAUGGUCGCCAUCAAGCCCUUCCCGAAAAAGCCAUCCUUCACCUGAUAGCUUUUUCGGAAAGGGCCAGGUUCAACGGCCUGGGCGAGCCUCCUAUAAGUUUAAGGGUAAUCGGUAGCACAGGUUCAGAUCACCAAAUAUUUUCCAAGGGAUAUGACUGGGAUUCGAAUCCAGGUCCUGUGGAUGGGCUGUGUAAGGUCCCCCCUUUCCUACACCUGCAGGUCCUCUAGACUGGAAUCCUUAAUGUUUACAAACAAUCCGGCCGACUACAAUACAAAAUCGGAAUGAAUAAAAAUAUUUAUUGAAUUUCAGGCCGCCAUAUUAGAUCUGCUAUUCUGAAUUUAAAAAACUAACCAUCAGAUUUGUAAUUUGUAGCCUCAAAAACUCCGAAACAUUGAUUUUCGUUAAAAAAAAAACUAAUAUUAAAAAACUGUCAAAUUUGAGGGGCUGCCACUUUUAUGAUCCCCUUUUGAGUAUAAAUUUUUAACUAAUAUAUGAAAGGAGUUUUUUUUCUCGGCACGAAGCACUCAAAUGAUCGAGAAAUGACGAAUUUUCAGCUGUAAACUUUUGGAGAUUCAAUUUUCCCCUUUCCUACUCCUUUGAGAUGAAAUUUCGAGAUGUCACAUUUUUUUCCAAAACAGUUCAGUGGUCCCUCAAUAACAUCUCCAAAUUUCAAUUUUCUUGGUCGUAGACCAAGAAAAAGUUUUAAGUGUGGUAGCUGGUACUGUACUCGUGUACUGUUUACUCAAAUUCGUACGUCAACACACGCACCGCAAAUGUUAUAUAUAUUUAAAUAUAGAUUAUAUUCCGAAAUGUUCUUAUUUUGAAUUUUAAAAAUAAUAGAAUUAUUAAUCAGAUUACGAAAAUACGAUUAUUAAUUGAAACUAUUUCAGUUUUGUUAACGUUAGAACUUUCAACACUUGUUGAUUAUUUGUUUUAUGAAUAUUUUAAAUUUAGCAUUACUGUAUAUUUUAAAAAUUAUUAACAUAUCUAUAAUUCGGAAAAUCGAACUAAUAUAAUGAUUACUAUAAUUUAACAAGAAA